rnacentral:rRNA from 1 species
GGGGGGAAUCUUGCGCAAUGGGCGAAAGCCUGACGCAGCCAUGCCGCGUGAAUGAUGAAGGUCUUAGGAUUGUAAAAUUCUUUCACCGGGGACGAUAAUGACGGUACCCGGAGAAGAAGCCCCGGCUAACUUCGUGCCAGCAGCCGCGGUAAUACGAAGGGGGCUAGCGUUGCUCGGAAUUACUGGGCGUAAAGGGCGCGUAGGCGGACAGUUUAGUCAGAGGUGAAAGCCCAGGGCUCAACCUUGGAAUUGCCUUUGAUACUGGCUGUCUUGAGUACGGGAGAGGUGAGUGGAACUCCGAGUGUAGAGGUGAAAUUCGUAGAUAUUCGGAAGAACACCAGUGGCGAAGGCGACUCACUGGCCCGUUACUGACGCUGAGGCGCGAAAGCGUGGGGAGCAAACAGGAUUAGAAACCCUUGUAGUCC